UACGGGGGGGGCAAGCGUUGUUCGGAAUUAUUGGGCGUAAAGCGCGCGCAGGUGGUUUCUUAAGUCUGAUGUGAAAGCCCACGGCUCAACCGUGGAGGGUCAUUGGAAACUGGGGAACUUCAGUGCAGAAGAGGAAAGUGGAAUUCCAAGUGUAGCGGUGAAAUGCGUAGAGAUUUGGAGGAACACCAGUGGCGAAGGCGACUUUCUGGUCUGUAACUGACACUGAGGCGCGAAAGCGUGGGGAGCAAACAGG
rnacentral:rRNA from 1 species